CCGGCUGCCGAGGAGCCGGAGGAGGAGGACGAGGAAGACGAGGAGGACGAGGAGGAUGAGGAUGAGGAGGGCAUGGUGACUUUCAGCAUGCCGGGACGCCUGCCGGGGGCUAUCCCCUCCUCUGCGCCGGCUGCGGAGCGCGGAGCGAUUUGAAAGGCGGGAAAAAGCAACCCAAAGUCCUGAUUUGCAAAUGAAGUUCCAUCCAAUCCAGUUUGACAGAAAUGGCAAACUUCUUUUGGGAUGAACUUUUUGCCUGGAGCACCUAUGGUUACAGGGCUGAGAUCAGAACCAGAGCAGCAUCUCCUGGGAGAAGAAAUGGUGAUGGAUUAAAAAAAAUCACACGCACCACACACUCGUGAAUCAGCAUACUUAGAAGACCAUGUAUUCCACAUGAUAUUUUUGUUUAGUUAAAUGCCUCACAUAUUCUGUAAGCUAAAUGGCAUGUAUAUUUCUGUUGUGGUGGGUUUUUGUAAAAAUUGUGUUAGUAAGAUUAUGUUUAACCAUGUAUGUGCAAUCAGAUUUGCAUCUCAGAUGAUCUAGGUAUUGUUACCAUGAGCCUUUAGGUAUUCCUUGCUAAAAGACACUAAGGGUUUUUGUUGUGGUGUGGGUUUUUUUUGGUUUUUGUUUUUUUUUUUUAACUGGACUAUCUGUGUGAAAGGCAUUUACUUUCCUUAAAACUGACUCAAAGUGAGCUGCAUUGCACCAUCCUACCAACGUAGUACUUGAAAAUUGACUGGACCUUAUUCUUCAGAAGAUCCAUUUCCUUCAAAAAUUGAAAGAACAAUGUCCAAAUAUAUCCAUACGGAAUUAAAGAAAGUCUUCAGGUUGCACAAUGCAUCCAAUCAACAUAGAAAUGCCUCUCAGUCUCCAGGAAACUAAAGGCAGCAUUUCACUUCCACAGUGGUCCACUCAGAUCUGGGUGAAGGUUUACAUUGUCAUUAUUGGACAUGAAACUAAAACACUAAUAAAGCUUAAUUUUUAUAUUUGUGGCACA